GUCUACAGCCAUCCCAUCCUGAAUGCGCCCACUCUCAUAUGAUCUCCGAAGGUAACCAGGGUCAGGCCUGGCUAGUCCUUGGAGGAGGGAACUGAGUCA
rnacentral:rRNA from 1 species